UUGUCAGCCGCCGCGGUAAUACGAAGGGUGCAAGCGUUACUCGGAAUUACUGGGCGUAAAGCGUGCGUAGGUGGUUUGUUAAGUCUGAUGUGAAAGCCCUGGGCCCAACCUGGGAAUGGCAUUGGAUACUGGCGAGCUAGAGUGCGGUAGAGGGCAGUGGAAUUCCCUGUGUAGCAGUGAAAUGCGUAGAGAUCGGGAGGAACAUCUGUGGCGAAGGCGACUGCCUGGACCAGCACUGACACUGAGGCACGAAAGCGUGGGGAGCAAACAGGAUUAGAUACCCCGGUAGUCC
rnacentral:rRNA from 1 species